rnacentral:rRNA from 1 species
CAAAGAUUAAGCCAUGCAAGUCUAAGUACACACGGCCGGUACAGUGAAACUGCGAAUGGCUCAUUAAAUCAGUUAUGGUUCCUUUGAUCGCUCUACCGUUACUUGGAUAACUGUGGCAAUUCUAGAGCUAAUACAUGCAAACGAGCGCUGACCUCCGGGGAUGCGUGCAUUUAUCAGACCCAAAACCCAUGCGGGGUUGCCCCUCGGGGCUCCCCGCUCGCUUUGGUGACUCUAGAUAACCUCGAGCCGAUCGCUGGCCCUCGUGGCGGCGACGUCUCAUUCGAAUGUCUGCCCUAUCAACUUUCGAUGGUACUUUCUGUGCCUACCAUGGUGACCACGGGUAACGGGGAAUCAGGGUUCGAUUCCGGAGAGGGAGCCUGAGAAACGGCUACCACAUCC